CAGGUGAGGAAACAGGGACACACCUUCCCGGAGGAGGGGCAGGGCCCCUCCGCGCGCGAGCCCCAUUGGUGUGAAAGAAGCUCCCGCGUCAGAGCUGGGAAGUGCCGGGCCGGCGGGGAGGGGAGCCCGGGCGCACGGGCCAGGCCGCGGGCUGUCCCAGGGAGCCCCGAGGGCGCGGUGCGCGGGCGCAGGUCGGGCGCAGGCGGGGUGACCCGGGGAAGGGGCGCGCACAGAGACAGAGGGAGCCAGCCGGGCCCCACGGUGUCCUCGGACGCCUCCGAAAUCUCCCUGCGUGUUUGUUUCUUCGGAGCUUCACCGGAGCCUGACUCUGGAACCGGCCUGUCUGCCUGCUGCAGUCUGUCAUUCAACAUUUAUUCAACCAAAAAUACUAAGUCAGCUCUAUACAAACUAAUGGAAGGAUACAGCUAUGCAAAUAUAGAACACUAAAGUGUUACAUGACAGAUGUAUGAGGGGAAGAGUGCUGGAUUCAGAGCCCACCUCAGGGGAAGACAGGACCCUCUCCAAGAUGGUUUCCCUAGAAGCUACUACCUCUCCCUGGAGGGUGGAGAUAUUUGCUGGUCAAAGCAAGAAGGCCCUCUGCAGAUGCUGACACCUUGAUAUUGGACUUCCCAGAUUCCAGAACUCUGAGAAAUAAAUUUCUAUUUUAAAUAAAUUACCCAGUCU
rnacentral:lncRNA from 1 species